GAAGAUGACCGAAGAAGUGGAUUUCCUGGG
rnacentral:piRNA from 1 species